UAGUCGAACUGGGCAGCAGCAGCGUCGGUCUCGUAGUCUAAGAGAGAGAAGAGUGGGAAGAAACAGUAAAUACAAUGCGAACAUAAGCAUGACGAUGCAUGACAUGACAAUGAGCGGUGUUAGGUGUGCCCUAACGCGGUAGUAGGUGAUACCGACGAAAGGGGGAAACAUCCGGGAAAGUGUCCCCGGUGUUUCGCGUUUUCAGACAGAUGAACCGGAGGUGAAAUAUUGCAGGUUCACUAUGCUAGGGACGCGUGGCGGACGAACGGUCUCGUCGUUCUGAGCAACUUUCAUGUACAAAGUUUUUCCAUCCGAACUACGGUUUAUUUUCUAUUAGUUUUCAAAAUUUUAUUAAUAUUCUAGAACUAAAUUAAUCUGAAAAUUAUAUUAAAUGAAAAUGCUAAGUGCACCUAGUAGAGUGUACACAGCAGUGCACACACAGGCUGACAUGUGGGGCCAGUGGGGCGCUGAGUCAGCAGGGCCACUAGUCAACAUGGACUGGGUUGACUGGUCAAAUCUGGGCAGUGGGGCCCAGAUGUCAUUGGGCCAUUAUUUUAAACAGAUUGUUUAUUUUGUCUAGUUAGUGGUGGGGUCCGUAAGACACACUCCAUGUAGCAUCUAAGGACGUUUUACGUUAGUUAUUAAAUAAUACUAAUCCUAGUCUAAUGGCCGGUCCGUUUGAUAGUGGCCCAAGCCAUGCCUUUGGCUGGGCAAACCAAGGGGCAGCACGGCACAGAGGCCACCACGGCCAUGGCCAGGAGCAGCAACGAGCAAGUAGUAGCGCAGCAGCUAGCAGCGGCAGCAGCUUGAGCAUCAGUAGUACGUAGCCCGCAGCAAUAGCAAGCAGAGCAGGGAACAGGAGCAGCAGCAAAGCGGACAGCCGGGCGGCCGCGGGUGUACGCAGGCGAGGGCAGCAGCGGUACCGGGCGUCUGUGGCCACGUGCACGCACGAGGGGUGAGCAAGCGGCCGCCGGUUGGGCGCGUGCAGGCGGCAGCAGCAUAUAGCACUAGCGGCAGCACAGAGUAGCGGCAGCGGGGAGGCCACGCACGGGCGCCCGCGCGUGAGGGCGCCGGCAGGGAUGGCGCGUGGGCAUGUGGGGGCAGAGGAGCAGAGCUCCGGUGCGGCUAGGGAGGGCGAGGGCGCGGAGCAGAGAGGCCAGGCGCGGUCGGGCGCAACAGCAAGGGGCGGAUGGGCGCGGCGACAAGAACAACUAGCUACGGACACAGGAUCGAGCUACGAGCAUUGGGGAAACGUCGAGGAGCUCACCGCGGAGCACAAGAUGGCUCGGUGAGCGACGUAGGAGCAGCAGAGGCAGUGGAUUCGGUGAGGAACUCCAGCGACCAAAGCGGGAAGAAGUCGUCGAUCCCGAAGCUUGACGGCGCCCCAGCUCGAUCUGGUGGCCGUAGUCGAAGUAGACGAGGCCGACGCGUCUUCUGGCAAAGUUUCAGCCGGCGGGGAUGGCAGUGGCCACGACGACGACGGCGAAGCGGUGACGGCUAUGUUCGGAUGCGAGUUCUAGAUCGAACGAGGAAAGGGAAGAUAGAAUUAGGAGCUAGGGUUUCGGUCGAGGGGUG
rnacentral:lncRNA from 1 species